AUGAAUAGUUUGCUAACAGCAGCUUAUACCUGGGAAGAGGUCCGAAAGGCAUUAUUCCAAAUCGGAGACAUGAAAGCACCGGGGCCGGAUGGGUUACAUGCGGUGUUUUUCAAGAGAUUUUGGCAUAUCUUGAGGGAGGAGCUCACUGAUGAGGUCUUAGAAGCAAUCCACAUGAGGAAAAUACCUGAAGGAUGGAAGCACACAAAUAUUGUGCUAAUCCCAAAGGUUGAAAGUCCAGAGGUAAUUACACAGUUCAGGCCUAUAAGCCUUUGCAAUGUGAUUUGUAAAAUAAUCUCAAAAAUGCUUGCAAACCGACUAAAGAAAGUACUCCCUCAGAUUAUAUCCCCCACUCAAAGCGCUUUUGUGUCAGGGAGGCUUAUAACAGAUAAUGUGUUAAUUUCUUAUGAAUGCUUCCAUGCAAUAAAGAAAAAAACACAUGGUUCUAAUGGGUUUUGUGCGGUAAAGCUGGACAUGAUGAAGGCGUAUGAUCGUGUGGAGUGGGGUUUCCUGAGGAAAAUGAUGGAAAAACUUGGGUUCGAUCCAGGUUGGAUAGAGAUGAUCAUGCAAUGUGUCUCUGCAGUAUAUAAGAUAAGAUUUAAUGGUACAGAAACUGAAGAUAUAUUACCCACUCGAGGUUUGAGGCAAGGAGACCCCUUGUCCCCUUACUUAUUUCUGCUAUGCUCAGAAGGAUUAUCAAGCAUGUUGGCGCAUGAGGAAGAGGUGGGUAGAUUGGAGGGUAUUAGAGUCUGUCGUGAUGCACCAUCCAUCUCUCACUUACUUUUUGCAGAUGACUCUCUCAUACUUAUGAAGGCAAAUGUGGAGAAUGCUAAUGCCUUGAAGAGGGUCCUAGAUGUGUAUUGUGCAAGUUUGGGACAACUUGUUAGCACGGCCAAAUCAAGUGUAUUUUUCAGCCCCAACACAAGUGCAGUCGUGCGGGAAGAGGUUUGCAGAAAUCUUGACAUACUAACAGAAGCUCUCUCUGAUAAAUACCUUGGUCUCCCUACAACUAUAGGUGUGGACAGAAGUGAUUGUUUUCAACACUUGAUUGACCGAAUUUGUCAGAGAAUUAAAGGGUGGAAGGAAAAAGUAUUGUUAGUCCAAGGGAAGGAAAUUUUGUUGAAAGCAGUGGCCCAAUCAAUCCCCUCAUAUGCUAUGUCAGUGUUUAAACUGCCAAAGGGAAUCUGUAAAGCAAUAACAGAUGAACUGGCAGGGUUUUGGUGGGGGGAUGGUAAGGAGAAGAGAAGGAUGCAUUGGUUCACAUGGUGGAAAUUGUGCAUGCCAAAGAGGAAAGGAGGAUUGGGGUUCAGAGACCUACACAGUUUUAACCUUACUUUACUAGCAAAACAGUGUUGGCGACUACUCCAGAAUCCAGAAUCAUUGUGUGCUCAAGUUCUUAGUGCUAAAUAUUAUCCUGAUGGAAAUAUAUUGAAUGCAGGGCCGAAGAAGGGUUCCUCCUUCACUUGGCAGAGCAUUGUUGCGGGUAUCCAAACGUUCAAAAGAGGAUGCAUUUGGAGAGUUGGUACGGGAACACAGAUCAAUAUUUGGCAAGACCUGUGGAUACCUUCAAGUGAGUCCAGGAAAAUUAUAACACCGCGAGGCUCCACAAUGUUGACAAAAGUGGAAGAGUUAAUUGACCCACAUACCGGGCAGUGGGAUGAGGUACUGAUUCGCGAUGUUUUUUGGCCGGUGGAUUGA
rnacentral:rRNA from 1 species